AAUCACCACAACUUCUGUUGAAAAGAAACAAAGCCCAAACGAUUGGCUCUUGUCUGCUUAAUCCUACCCCCACUUAGUGCCUCUCAAGUUUCAAACAGCAGUCCUGCCUACCGACUUUCUGUUCUUUCUGCUUAGUCCUUUAAGCUGUUAACUAGGUGCCUUCUUAGUGAUUCUGUGAGCCCCUUAGGUAUUUGCAUUCCUAAAUGUUUCCAGGGGUUCAAUAGAACUCAUUUCACAUACCCAAGAAGUGUGCAGCCUUGGCUUUUAGUAACUACUCAACUUAAUAGGCUUUCAAGCUAUUACUGUCUUCAAGAAACACAUCUACAAAACUCUGCCAGAAGCUGCUAUGGGUGGGAGCGUUUUGCACUGCUCUUCUUGAAACCGAAGCAUUGUACAGCCCAGCAGGCAAUAGCCACAGACAAAACAGAUCAGAUAGAAAAGGUGUUGCAGGGAGUAGUCUGUAAGUUUAACUCUGCCUAGCUCUGGAUGUAGACUUUCUGGUUCUACUGCCACUCUUCAGAAAUGUGAAGAAGAGAUUGAAAAUGUGGUGUGCAGAAGCCAGGAAGGAAAAUCUCAUGCUUUUAAGAACUCUGCUCUGUAAUUGGAUGAAUCUACCUUCUCUGCUUAAAAGUAGAGAAGACAGAUGAAUGAGCUUGAGCUGUACUUUCAAGGCUUACCACAUGUAGCAGUCUGAAGGGGAUCUGUGGAGUUUGUCUUGAGAAAAUACCACUGUUUGGGAACUAUUCCAGCUCCCAGAUGCUGAGCAUUUUGCUGUUGACCUCAGUUUCAUGUGGGUUGGUGAGUUGAAUUGCGUCAUGGAGAGUCGCGGGAGCUGAAGGCUGACACAAGUUGAGCAACAAAGUGGGAGAAGAAGGGGGGAGAGUUGGGCUUGCUCAAAAUCCAGCAACACCUCUUUCACUAAUUGGAUACUAGGAGCUUUAAAUACUGUCACUUAUCUAACCUUUUACAAUUAAUAUUAAUGGAAAUUAAUUACCGGGAAAAAGGAGGUGUUCUACUGUCAUCAUUAGGAAGAUUGUGGAACAGUUUAUCAUGAAAACUAUUUACUGGCAUGUGAAGAACAGAAGUUUGAUUGUAAACAUCCAGUGUGGAUCUACCAAGAGCAAAUUGUGCUGGACCAACCUGGAUUGACUGUUACGGUGAAGUGACACCGCUGUGCACGAAGAGCCUGUGACUUUGUCCUCAAGACUCAAGCCUGAAGAAAACAUCCAGCUUGAAUCUUAUUUCUAUCUUUCUAUCAAAAACCUGGUGCUUGGUCACCAGGCCUCACCUCCUUCCAAAGAUGCUGUGUGGGGAAGUAGCGCCUGGCUGAGCAGGGCUCCCUCUGACCUUCCUUCUACUCCUGCCUAGAAGUGGCCAGCAUCCCACAUCUGCCCCACACCUGGAUGAUGUAAAAGAGGAGAACCUUAAUUAGCGAACAUGGAAGCUGUUUGUUUUCCUUCCCCUCGUGACCAAUUCCUUCAGCAGGUGAGGAGCUUGUAUAGGCCUUCUGCUCUCCCCUCAGAUCUCUUCGAGAGCUGACGUAGUUCUGUGCUUCUUGACAUCAGCUGAUCCUCUUCAAACUGUUUCCCCAAGAUGUGGUUUGUCA
rnacentral:lncRNA from 1 species